rnacentral:rRNA from 1 species
CCUACGAGGGGCAGCAGUGGGGAAUAUUGGUCAAUGGGCGCAAGCCUGACCCAGCAACGCCGCGUGAAGGAUGAAGGCUCUCGGGUUGUUAACUUCCUUUUUCAGGGACGAAGCAAGUGACGGUACCUGAGUAAUAUGCCACGGCUAACUACGUGCCAGCAGCCGCGGUAAUACGUAGGUGGCAAGCGUUAUCCGGAUUUACGGGGUGUAAAGGGCGUGUAGGCGGGGACGCAAGUCAGAUGUGAAUAGCACGGGCUCAACCGGUGUACUGCAGUUGAAACUGUGUUUCUUGAGUACUGGAGAGGCAGACGGAAUUCGUGGUGUAGCGGUGAAAUGCGUAGAUAUUAGGGGGAACACCAGUGGCGAAGGCGGUCUGCUGGACAGCAACUGACGCUGAGGCGCGAAAGCGUGGGGAGCAAACAGGAUUAGAUACCCGUGUAGUC